rnacentral:tRNA from 1 species
GCCUGGGUGGCUCAGUCGGUUGAGCGUCUGACUUCGGCUCAGGUCAUGAUCUCGCAGUCUGUGAGUUCGAGCCCCACGUCGGGCU